GUAAGUGUUAUGCCCUAGAUCCAAUCGAUUUAGGUUGUAAACGCUUUUAAUAUAUUUAAUGCAUUUGAUUUUGGCGAGAUCUAUUAUUUAUUUAAAUUAAUUUUGUAAUAAAUGAUAUUAAAUAAUAGAAUCCGAAGACCCAAUUUUUAGGUAAUCUGUUAAUCACAAGGAGUUGUGAUUGUGAGAUACAAAUUACAUAUAAUUGGAUCUUGAAUAAACCAUGGUCGUAAGUAAUAACGAGAUACGGAUAUCGUUAAUACAGUUAGACCAUCACGUGUGGCAUUUCUUACUUAUGAAGUAAGUAGCUGAUCUCACGAGCUAAAGUGUGGUGACACUUAAAUGAACAUGUGGAUGUUUUGUUGUAGAACAAAACAUUGGAGACCCGCUAAGAGAUUCCACAUGGAUAACUAUCUGAGUGUCAGUGGCUAAUCUCUAACGUUCGGUAGUGGGAUUGAUCCUUUGACUUGAGGUCGUCAUAGUACCCUAUAUGAG
rnacentral:lncRNA from 1 species